CCAAAGAACAAUAAGGACCUAAUAUCCUCCUUUUCAGAUUUAGUUGAACUUAAGGUCGAUCUUAUGAUCAGUGAAUCAAUUUGGAGGGGAGGAGACUUGUAAUACUUCCGCUUUUGGGAAGUUUCUUCCGUAAUCUAAGUAACUUCAUGUUAUUAUGUGAAAAUAUCAAGAUAUGGGAUGGAAUGUUGGAUGAUGUCUCCUCUCACAGAUUUCAGUGAGAUGGUUAAUGAUAUGAAGGUUAUUUCCAUUAUGACCUAAUUUUUAACUAUCAACGAUUUAAAAUCGUAUGGCCUUGUGAACUUUAUAAAGAUUAAGAUUAAUUCUAUAAGCGGCCUGGAAACAGAAAUUGAAGAAACUGAGCAUGAAUUGUUGACCGGACGUUUGGCCUAUUUGAUUCGUUUUUUUUUUUUAAUGUUCUAGUUGGAUGAAAUAUAUGAAUGAAAUAGCUUACGGGGCACUCUUCUUUUCUUAAUACAGGUUGUUUUGUGAUGAUUUUGCGUGAAACGAGAAUGCUUCGUUUUUGCUUUGUCAAUGGUUGCUGAGAAGUGUCUCGUACGUGUUCUGACUUUCUCUGUGCGUUGAGACCUGCAUCUUUGGCCAUGAAUAUUUCCAUUCUGAGUAAGUAAAAGACAGAACUUAGGUCGAAGGUACAAAAUUACUGGAGACUCAUUUGGCUGCAAGAGAAGAUUUGAAUUCCGAAGGUUUCACGAGAGAUUAUUAUGUGCGGACACCCAACACAGCUUAUCGUCCAGAGGUGAAUUAGGUGCAGUUACGUCAUCCAGUACCGAGCAGUAUCGAGCCGCAGUACUGAAUAGGGGGUGAUAUGGUGAAUUUUCAUUGGACUUUGGACGGCCUUCGGUGUCCGCACAUAAUAAGUCAUCAGAUUUUCACAUCUGCAGAACCAAAGCAGUUUGAUUUAGAAGAGCUAGCUUGUAUUUCAUAAUCUGGAACAAGAUGUGCUAAGACUGACUUCAAAAUCAAAUUGAAAUUUCUGAAGCUCGUAGUUUCAUGCUAUGCCGGUAGAUACUUCAAUAUAAAUAUCAUGUAUUUUUUUAUUUUUUAAAUAAUUUUACAAUAAUAUUUACCUCGUAAUAUCAUCAUCCUUCAUUUCUAGCUA